AACCAAACAAAUAAAGGCUCAGUAUCACUAUUUUGCCUAUCUCUUCUCUCUUUCUUUCUCUCCAACCUACAGCUUCCUUCUUACACUUUCUAGGUCACACAAAAACCUACUGCCUUCACUAAGUUUAGAGACCAAAGUAGGAAAAGAAGUGGCCUUUCAGGUGGAAUGACGCCUUGAGCUUGUAUUAGCUACAUGCCAAAUUGCCAACUCAAAAGCAGGGGAAGAUAUGUUUCCAGGGAAAAUAAAGGGAAAAAAAGGGAGGUACGGGAGCACAUAUUGUCACCUUUAAGCCAACUUAAUUAUGACUGAUUAGAAGUUUAUCCAAGAAAUCUCCCUCUUUUCUCUUUCUGUUGACAAGAUAACUCCUUUUUUUUUCAGUAUAUAUAUAACUCCUUGCCUCCUUUCUCUAAUGCAUCUUCUUAACCUUAACAGCUUUUCUUCAUUUUUUGUUAGCUGCUCUCAAGUAUAUAUAUGUAUGUAUACUCAUGCUUGAGUAUCAACCUCCCAGCUGUGAUGCUUCUUCACUGUCAUAGUCACCAUUGUGCAGGCAGCAUCAUCAUUUGGUUUUGGACCUUAAGAGUAACAGGAAACAUUUUUAAGUACCCAAUAUAUAAACAUAUAUUUAUGCAUCUACUCAUUUGCAUAUUCAUAUCAUCAUGCUUUGCAUAUAUUAACUGUUAAAUGCACAUUUUGUAUGCCUGGCUCCCUGUAUGCCAUUUGCAAAGCCCAUCAAGAGUCCGGUGGCCUUCGUGGAUGGCAUGCGAGGAGCCAUGCAUGCAUUCUGCUGUCUUAACGAUGGAGGGUGUGUUUCAAUCUAUGGUCAACCUAAUGUCUAACAGAAGUUGGGAUUUCCAUAACAAAAUAAGCUUUUUAGUCAUAAACUCUGAAAACUUUGCAGGACCCAAGGUCACAGGUAAGAUCUUCCAAGAACUCUUGGAUUAGUUCUUUCUUUUUGGCUUCUGACUGGUUCUUUUCUCAUCUUACGCUUCGGGAGGGAGAAAUCUGAUGCCUGGGCUGCAGUUUCUGUUCCUCAUUUCUAAGGAACAAAGAAAAAACGACGGUUCUCCACAACCCCAAACGAACAAGAGCCAGCAAGUCAAGAAUAUGAACUAGGGGGGCUGCGCGAGCUUUCCAUGCUUGAGGCUUUAGAGGAAAUGCUCGGAAAGGUGGUCUUCUGUCCUAACUUGAUAUUCAUCAGAUCAGAAACAAGACCAGGCUGUGAAAUUUGAACUCCUUCGAUGUCGAUGUCAUUAGUCAACAUUCUCACGGCUCUUGACAUUUCUGGUCGGAGCUUGGCUGUUUCUUGAACGCAAAGGAGGCCCACCUUGAUGAAUCGAACCGCUUCUUCUUCAGGGUAGUUCAUACCUACUAUAGGAUCUACCAAUUGCAGAAUGCUGUUAGCCCUGUAGAGUUCCCAUGCCUGAUCGUUUACACACAUAAAGUCAACAUGUCAGUAAAGUUAUUCUCUAAACUGAACGAAAGCUCUAGGUUUCGUGCAUCAA